rnacentral:tRNA from 1 species
GCCCUAGCUCAGUGGAAGAGCAUCUGCCUUGGAUACAGAAGGUCACAAGUUCAAUCCCCGGUAGGGCU